rnacentral:rRNA from 1 species
GUACCUUGAAGUGGGGGACAACAGUUGGAAACGACUGCUAAUACCGCAUAAUCCCUGAGGGGGAAAGAUUUAUUGCUUUAAGAUUGGCCCGCGGAAGAUUAGGUAGUUGGUGGGGUAAAGGCCUACCAAGCCGACGAUCUAUAGCUGGUCUGAGAGGACGAACAGCCACAUUGGAACUGAGACACGGUCCAGACUCCUACGGGAGGCAGCAGUGAGGAAUAUUGGGCAAUGGAGGCAACUCUGACCCAGCCAUGCCGCGUGAGUGAUGAAGGUUUUCGAAUUGUAAAGCUCUUUCGGAUGUGAAGAUGAUGACGGUAGCAUCUAAAGAAGCCCCGGCAAACUUCGUG